rnacentral:rRNA from 1 species
UACGGAGGGGGCUAGCGUUGUUCGGAAUUACUGGGCGUAAAGGGCGCGUAGGCGGCGCGCUAAGUUGGGCGUGAAAGGCCCGGGCUCAACCCGGGGACUGCGCUUGAUACUGUCGCGCUGUGAGUCCGGGAGAGGAUGGCGGAAUUCCCAGUGUAGAGGUGAAAUUCGUAGAUAUUGGGAAGAACACCGGUGGCGAAGGCGGCCAUCUGGACCGGCACUGACGCUGAGGCGCGAAAGCUAGGGGAGCAAACGGG